AGAUGCCGCCGAAAUUUCGGUAGAAAUUUCGGUGGCAAAAAUAAACAAACUCCGGUAGGAAAUAAAAUACGAGUUAGAAGGAAUAAAUUAUUAUAGAAAAGAACUUAUAUCUCAAAAAUUUAGUUAUAUAGAUAAGUUAGGAUAAAUAAAAUUCUUAAGAGUGGUGAAUGAAUAUAUUUUGUCUGAUAGAAUUAUUCUUUUGUGUCGU
rnacentral:lncRNA from 1 species